AAUCCAUAGGUUAAUGAGGCGAACCGGGGGAACUGAAACAUCUAAGUACCCCGAGGAAAAGAAAUCAACCGAGAUUCCCCCAGUAGCGGCGAGCGAACGGGGAGGAGCCCAGAGCCUGAAUCAGCAUGUGUGUUAGUGGAAGCGUCUGGAAAGGCGCGCGAUACAGGGUGACAGCCCCGUACACAAAAGCGCAUGUGCUGUGAGCUCGAUGAGUAGGGCGGGACACGUGGUAUCCUGUCUGAAUAUGGGGGGACCAUCCUCCAAGGCUAAAUACUCCUGACUGACCGAUAGUGAACCAGUACCGUGAGGGAAAGGCGAAAAGAACCCCGGCGAGGGGAGUGAAAAAGAACCUGAAACCGUGUACGUACAAGCAGUGGGAGCACCCUUUGGGUGUGACUGCGUACCUUUUGUAUAAUGGGUCAGCGACUUAUAUUCUGUAGCAAGGUUAACCGAAUAGGGGAGCCGGAGGGAAACCGAGUCUUAAUUGGGCGUUAAGUUGCAGGGUAUAGACCCGAA
rnacentral:rRNA from 1 species